AAAGGGAAUAGAUACUGUGUGUCUGGAGAUUUCUAGGGGUUAGUAGAAUUUCCGGUGGAGCGGUGAAAUGCGUUGAUAUCGGAAGGAAUGACAAAAGCGAAAGCAGCUAACUAUAGAAAAUCUGACGGUCAGAGACGAAAGCUUGGGUAUCAAACGGGAUUAGAUACCCCGGUAGUCCAAGCUGUAAAUUAUGCAUGCUAGGUGUUUUGUUCCGAUUUUCGGGAUGGAGUGCUGUAAUCUAACGAGUUAAGCAUGCCGCCUGGGUAGUAUAUUCGCAAGAAUGAAACUCAAAGGGAUAGGCGGGGGAACACACAAGCAGUGGAUUGUCUCGAUUAAUUGGAUAAUAAGCCAAGAAUCUUACCUAAACUUGACAUGUACUGUGUCCUAUAUGAAAGUAUAGUAAUUCUGCUUUGCAGAAUACGGUAUACAGGUGGUGCAUGGUCGUCGUCAGCUCGUGCCGCAAGGUGUCCAGUUAAGUCUGGGAACGAGCGCAACCCUCAUCUUUAGUUAGAAUGUCUAAAGAGACUGCCUGGGUAACCAGGAGGAAGGAGAGGAUGACGUCAGAUCAUCAUGCCCCUUACGUUUAGGGCUUCAUAGACAAUACAAUGGGUAGUACAACGAGAAGCAAUACCGUGAGGUGGAGCAAAUCUUUAAAGCUAUCCUUAGUUCGGAUUGUAGUCUGGAAUUCGACUACAUGAAGUUGGAAUUGCUAGUAAUGGCGGGUCAGCUACACCGCCGUGAAUAUGUCCCUGUUCCUUGCACUCACCGCCCGUCAAACCAUGGGAGUUGAGGUUCUCUGAAGAUGU
rnacentral:rRNA from 1 species